UCGAUUUGGAGUUUGUUGCCUUGAGUGAUGGGCUCCGAAGCUAACGCGAUAAAUCGACCGCCUGGGGAGUACGGCCGCAAGGUUAAAACUCAAAUGAAUUGACGGGGGCCCGCACAAGCGGUGGAGCAUGUGGUUUAAUCCGAUGCAACGCGAAGAACCUUACCUGGUCUUGACAUCCACAGAAUCUUGCAGAGAUGCGAGAGUGCCUUCGGGAACUGUGAGACAGGUGCUGCAUGGCUGUCGUCAGCUCGUGUUGUGAAAUGUUGGGUUAAGUCCCGCAACGAGCGCAACCCUUAUCCUUUGUUGCCAUUGGUUCGGCCGGGAACUCAAAGGAGACUGCCGUUGAUAAAGCGGAGGAAGGUGGGGACGACGUCAAGUCAUCAUGGCCCUUACGACCAGGGCUACACACGUGCUACAAUGGCGUAUACAAAGGGAGGCGACCUCGCGAGAGCAAGCGGACCUCAUAAAGUACGUCUAAGUCCGGAUUGGAGUCUGCAACUCGACUCCAUGAAGUCGGAAUCGCUAGUAAUCGUGAAUCAGAAUGUCACGGUGAAUACGUUCCCGGGCCU
rnacentral:rRNA from 1 species